GGCGUGCCUAAUACAUGCAAGUCGAGCGAACAGACGAGGAGCUUGCUCCUUUGACGUUAGCGGCGGACGGGUGAGUAACACGUGGAUAACCUACCUAUAAGACUGGGAUAACUUCGGGAAACCGGAGCUAAUACCGGAUAACAUGUUGAACCGCAUGGUUCAACAGUGAAAGACGGUCUUGCUGUCACUUAUAGAUGGAUCCGCGCCGCAUUAGCUAGUUGGUAAGGUAACGGCUUACCAAGGCAACGAUGCGUAGCCGACCUGAGAGGGUGAUCGGCCACACUGGAACUGAGACACGGUCCAGACUCCUACGGGAGGCAGCAGUAGGGAAUCUUCCGCAAUGGGCGAAAGCCUGACGGAGCAACGCCGCGUGAGUGAAGAAGGUCUUCGGAUCGUAAAACUCUGUUAUUAGGGAAGAACAAAUGUGUAAGUAACUAUGCACGUCUUGACGGUACCUAAUCAGAAAGCCACGGCUAACUACGUGCCAGCAGCCGCGGUAAUACGUAGGUGGCAAGCGUUAUCCGGAAUUAUUGGGCGUAAAGCGCGCGUAGGCGGUUUUUUAAGUCUGAUGUGAAAGCCCACGGCUCAACCGUGGAGGGUCAUUGGAAACUGGAAAACUUGAGUGCAGAAGAGGAAAGUGGAAUUCCAUGUGUAGCGGUGAAAUGCGCAGAGAUAUGGAGGAACACCAGUGGCGAAGGCGACUUUCUGGUCUGUAACUGACGCUGAUGUGCGAAAGCGUGGGGAUCAAACAGGAUUAGAUACCCUGGUAGUCCACGCCGUAAACGAUGAGUGCUAAGUGUUAGGGGGUUUCCGCCCCUUAGUGCUGCAGCUAACGCAUUAAGCACUCCGCCUGGGGAGUACGACCGCAAGGUUGAAACUCAAAGGAAUUGACGGGGACCCGCACAAGCGGUGGAGCAUGUGGUUUAAUUCGAAGCAACGCGAAGAACCUUACCAAAUCUUGACAUCCUCUGACCCCUCUAGAGAUAGAGUUUUCCCCUUCGGGGGACAGAGUGACAGGUGGUGCAUGGUUGUCGUCAGCUCGUGUCGUGAGAUGUUGGGUUAAGUCCCGCAACGAGCGCAACCCUUAAGCUUAGUUGCCAUCAUUAAGUUGGGCACUCUAAGUUGACUGCCGGUGACAAACCGGAGGAAGGUGGGGAUGACGUCAAAUCAUCAUGCCCCUUAUGAUUUGGGCUACACACGUGCUACAAUGGACAAUACAAAGGGUAGCGAAACCGCGAGGUCAAGCAAAUCCCAUAAAGUUGUUCUCAGUUCGGAUUGUAGUCUGCAACUCGACUACAUGAAGCUGGAAUCGCUAGUAAUCGUGGAUCAGCAUGCUACGGUGAAUACGUUCCCGGGUCUUGUACACACCGCCCGUCACACCACGAGAGUUUGUAACACCCGAAGCCGGUGGAGUAACCUUUUGGAGCUAGCCGUCGAAGGUGGGACAAAUGAUUGGGGUGAAGU
rnacentral:rRNA from 1 species